ACAAAAACAUGUCUUUUUGAAUUUAAAUAUAAAGUCUAAUCUGCCCACUGAUAAAUUAUUUAAUGGCCGCAGUAUUUUAACUGUGCAAAGGUAGCAUAAUAAUUAGUCUUUUAAUUGAAGGCUUGUAUGAAUGAUUGGACGAGAUAUAAACUGUCUCAUAAAAAUUUUUUUAGAAUUUAAUUUUUUAGUCAAAAAGCUAAAAUGAAUUUAAAAGACGAGAAGACCCCAUAGAUCUUUAUAUUUUUUUUUAUUAUUGUUAUUAAGUUUUUUUAUGAAUUAAUAGAUAAAAAUAUUUUGUUGGGGUGACAUUGAAAUUUAAUAAACUUUCAAAAUUUAAUAACAUUAAUUUAUGAAUUUAUGAUCCUUUAUUAUUGAUUAAAAAUUUAAGUUACCUUGGGGAUAACAGCGUAAUUAUUUUGGAAAGUUCAUAUUGAUAAAAUAGAUUGCGACCUCGAUGUUGGAUUAAGAUUAAUUUUGGGUGUAGCAGUUCAAAAUAUUAAGUCUGUUCGACUUUUAAUUUCUUACGUGAUCU
rnacentral:rRNA from 1 species